rnacentral:tRNA from 1 species
GAGCAUGUAGCUCAGGGGAUAGAGCAUCAGAUUCCGAUUCUGUUUGUCGAAGGUUCGAGUCCUUCCAUGCUUG